rnacentral:lncRNA from 1 species
AAUACCAGCCCUUCCCUUGCCGACCACUUUGCCUCCCAUUAAUAAGGUGUGUCGGGACACUUAGCGGGACUGGUGUCAACAACUUGGUUUGAGUGCUAAUGGCAAGAAAAUAGAAGUUUAUCUGAGGCUCCGUAGGCGUGCUUUCCCUGAACAACAGCAAGAUACGCCUGAAACAUCACAUAAGACCAGAUUACAGCGAUGCUCGAGAAAACACAAGGCAGUGACCGAGAGAGCAAGAGGCUUCAGAAAAGUUAUGAGAUGAAUGAAAGAACAGAGAGACUAAUAUAGUUGAAGUGAUAACUUCAGUGCAGGCAUCCAUGUUGGCAUCAUGGGCAAGAAUUGGUGCAAGAGCUGUUCAGCCAAAGGCUGUAAAUUCAUGUUCCAUUCCUGUUUCUGUUGAGGCCUUUUGGAUGCAAACCUCUGAUGUCAGGUGGUGUGUGGUCCAUGGCAGACGUCUCUCAGCAGACACAAAGAGCUGGGUACACCUGCAGUUUCAUGCAGAUCAGGCCUGGGUGCCUACCACUCACAGGAGGAUGAUUUCUCUCUUCUUGUUACCUGCCUGCAUUUUCCCAUCCCCAGGCAUAGAAGAUAACAUAUUAUGCCCCAACUGUGCUAAGAGGAAUAAGAAGAUGAUGAGAAGAUUAAUGACAAUGGA